rnacentral:rRNA from 1 species
CCCUGAUGAUUAGCGGCGGACGGGUGAGUAACACGUGGGUAACCUGCCUGUAAGACUGGGAUAACUCCGGGAAACCGGGGCUAAUACCGGAUAACUUUUUUCUUCGCAUGAGGGRGAAUUGAAAGAUGGCUUCGGCUAUCACUUACAGAUGGACCCGCGGCGCAUUAGCUAGUUGGUGAGGUAAYGGCUCACCAAGGCGACGAUGCGUAGCCGACUUGAGAGGGUGAUCGGCCACACUGGGACUGAGACACGGCCCAGACUCCUACGGGAGGCAGCAGUAGGGAAUCUUCCGCAAUGGACGAAAGUCUGACGGAGCAACGCCGCGUGAGUGAUGAAGGUUUUCGGAUCGUAAAACUCUGUUGUUAGGGAAGAACAAGUAUCGUUCGAAUAGGGCGGUACCU